UACGUAGGGGGCAAGCGUUGUCCGGAAUCAUUGGGCGUAAAGAGCGCGUAGGCGGCCCAGUAAGUCCGCUCUGAAAGUCAGGGGCUCAACCCCUGAAUGCGGGUGGAUACUGCUGGGCUAGAGUCCGGAAGAGGCGAGUGGAAUUUACGGUGUAGCAGUGAAAUGCGUAGAGAUCGUAAGGAAGACCAGUGGCGAAGGCGAGUUUCUGGACAGUUACUGACGCUGAGGCACGAAGGCCAGGGGAGCAAACGGG
rnacentral:rRNA from 1 species